UACGUAGGGCGCGAGCGUUGUCCGGAAUUACUGGGCGUAAAGGGUUCGUAGGUGGUCUACUAAGUCAGACGUGAAAUCCCUCAGCUCAACUGGGGAACUGCGUCUGAGACUGGAAGGCUUGAGUGCAGGAGAGGAACGCGGAAUUCCAGGUGUAGCGGUGAAAUGCGUAGAUAUCUGGAGGAACACCGGUGGCGAAGGCGGCGUUCUGGACUGUUACUGACACUGAGGAACGAAAGCCAGGGGAGCAAACGGG
rnacentral:rRNA from 1 species